UCUCCUGGAAACGGGUGGUAAUGCCGGAUGUUCCACAUGAGCGCAUGCGAGUGUGGGAAAGGCUUUUUGCGGCAUGGGAUGGGGUCGCGUCCUAUCAGCUUGUUGGUGGGGUAACGGCCUACCAAGGCGUUGACGGGUAGCCGGCCUGAGAGGGCGACCGGCCACAUUGGGACUGAGAUACGGCCCAGACUCCUACGGGAGGCAGCAGUGGGGAAUAUUGCACAAUGGGCGCAAGCCUGAUGCAGCGACGCCGCGUGCGGGAUGGAGGCCUUCGGGUUGUAAACCGCUUUUGUUCAAGGGCAAGGCACGGUUUCGGCCGUGUUGAGUGGAUUGUUCGAAUAAGCACCGGCUAACUACGUGCCAGCAGCCGCGGUAAUACGUAGGGUGCAAGCGUUAUCCGGAUUUAUUGGGGCGUAAAGGGCUCGUAGGCGGUUCGUCGCGUCCGGUGUGAAAGUCCAUCGCUUAACGGUGGAUCCGCGCCGGGUACGGGCGGGCUUGAGUGCGGUAGGGGAGACUGGAAUUCCCGGUGUAACGGUGGAAUGUGUAGAUAUCGGGAAGAACACCA
rnacentral:rRNA from 1 species